rnacentral:rRNA from 1 species
CAGUCGCCGCGGGAAUACGAAGGGUGCAAGCGUUACUCGGAAUUACUGGGCGUAAAGCGUGCGUAGGUGGUGGUUUAAGUCCGUUGUGAAAGCCCUGGGCUCAACCUGGGAAUUGCAGUGGAUACUGGGUCACUAGAGUGUGGUAGAGGAUAGUGGAAUUUCCGGUGUGGCAGUGAAAUGCGUAGAGAUCGGAAGGAACAUCUGUGGCGAAGGCGACUAUCUGGGCCAACACUGAUACUGAGGCACGAAAGCGUGGGGAGCAAACAGGAUUAGAUACCCGAGUAGUCCCUGUCUCUUAUAC